AUUCUCUAUGUAGCCCAUGCUGGUGUCAAACUCACAGUGAUCCUCCUGCCUCAGCCUCCUGAGUGCUGGGAUUACAGGUGUGCACCACCCUGCCCUGCUUGGACCACUCCGUUUCCAAGGAAAGAAGAUGAAGCUUAUUCUGUAUCAGCCAUCCCAUUGAAGGAAGAUCAUGCUAUCUAUUGUUUGCUACUGAAGUAUGCAAACUGUAAGAGAAUGUGAGCUUGCCUGAGAAAAAACAGAAAAUAAAAAUCAUCUUUGCAAUGUUAAAGACCGAUUUCCACAGUGAACUUGACAGGUUUUCAAGUUUCACCACGUGGAGUAAAGCCACUCCUUAUGAGAGCCAAGAGAGAGAGAGAAGGAAUGAAAGAGACAGAAAUGAACCAAAAUCUGCAGAUCUAGGUAAGCUGAUCGCCUAACUCUCAAUCUAAAGUUGAAGUCUGUACAGCUUUACCUCCUUUAGCGAAGGGAGUCACUGUUGUAAGAUCUGAAAUUCAAAACCUGCAUAUGCUAAAAAUUUCAGAUCUAAGGACAAGAAAAAGGCGUCUUGUAUCUGGAAGAGAGAGCAAGAGUCCACACUUCCUUUACUUUUAUGUGUUAUAUGGACCCCAGCUGACUGCGUGGUACCUGUACACAUGGUAAGUAAGGCUUCCCCAGUCAGUCUACCAUGGGAGUCUUCUCUAAAAGCCUAACCACAGACACAC
rnacentral:lncRNA from 1 species